rnacentral:rRNA from 1 species
UACGUAGGGUGCAAGCGUUGUCCGGAAUUAUUGGGCGUAAAGAGCUCGUAGGCGGUUCGUCGCGUCGGCUGUGAAAACCUGAGGCUCAACCUCAGGCCUGCAGUCGAUACGGGCGGACUUGAGUACUGCAGGGGAGACUGGAAUUCCUGGUGUAGCGGUGAAAAUGCGCAGAUAUCAGGAGGAACACCGGUGGCGGAAGGCGGGUCUCUGGGCGAGUA